rnacentral:rRNA from 1 species
AGCUACAGGCUUAACACAUGCAAGUCGAGGGGAAACGACAUCGAAAGCUUGCCUUUGAUGGGCGUCGACCGGCGCACGGGUGAGUAACGCGUAUCCAACCUGCCCACCACUUGGGGAUAACCUUGCGAAAGUAAGACUAAUACCCAAUGAUAUCUCUAGAAGACAUCUGAAAGGGAUUAAAGAUUUAUCGGUGAUGGAUGGGGAUGCGUCUGAUUAGCUUGUUGGCGGGGUAACGGCCCACCAAGGCUACGAUCAGUAGGGGUUCUGAGAGGAAGGUCCCCCACAUUGGAACUGAGACACGGUCCAAACUCCUACGGGAGGCAGCAGUGAGGAAUAUUGGUCAAUGGACGAGAGUCUGAACCAGCCAAGUAGCGUGCAGGAUGACGGCCCUAUGGGUUGUAAACUGCUUUUAUAAGGGAAUAAAGUGAGUCUCGUGAGACUUUUUGCAUGUACCUUAUGAAUAAGGACCGGCUAAUUCCGUGCCAGCAGCCGCGGUAAUACGGAAGGUCCGGGCGUUAUCCGGAUUUAUUGGGUUU